AGCUUUGUGCAGUGGCAGUAUCAUAGCCAAUGAGGUUUAUCUGAGGCGCGAUUAUUGCUAAUUGAAACUUAAAAUUUUUCAAUCCCAGAUAAUGUAAGGGAAUAAUUUGAUAUGUAUUAUAUCUUAUAUUUGCAGGAUUAGCAGU